rnacentral:lncRNA from 1 species
AUCACUUCGUUGAAUAACCAACCCUCUUGUGGCAUCUCAAAUAUGAAGAGCUUCAACAUCAUUGCUUUCUUCUUCUUUGUGGCCUUGUUCCUCCUUACCAGUGGGUUUCGUUAGUUCGACCUUUUAGUGACGAAAAACGGGCUAUAAAUUAGUAUCCCAUAUUGAUUUUUUUUUACAUUUAUUCAUUUUGGCGAUAUUUGUCGUCGUCGUCGCAGGUGAUCGUGCCGGAGUGGGUGCCACGAGGAUAAAUCGGAGAGAAGGUUUAUGUUUUAAAGGGUACAUUCCCAACCUCCAUUGUGAGCCAAUUGAUGUGCCUGAGCAAAAUACGUGUCUUAUGGAGUGCCAAGCUAAGUAUGGAAAUGCUGGUGAAGGGAUAUGUGACAAGAAGAACAAGUGCGCUUGUUAUACUCGUUUUCCCACUGAUGACCAUUGCAUACAUAAUAAUUAAUAAUUAGUAAUAAAAUAAAAUAAAAAGAGAGAUAAGAAAAAGAUGUCCAAUUGGUUAUAUAAAUGGUUAUUAAUUUAAUUGAUGGACUUGG